rnacentral:rRNA from 1 species
CUGCUGCCUUCCGUAGGAGUUUGGGCCGUGUCUCAGUCCCAAUGUGGCCGUCCACCCUCUCAGGCCGGCUACUGAUCGUCGCCUUGGUGGGCCGUUACCCCGCCAACAAGCUAAUCAGACGCGGGUCCAUCUUACACCACCGGAGUUUUUCACACAAAUCCAUGCGGCUUCGUGCGCUUAUGCGGUAUUAGCACCUAUUUCUAAGUGUUAUCCCCCAGUGUAAGGCAGGUUACCCACGCGUUACUCACCCGUCCGCCACUAAGA